UCACUCUGGUAGCAGCCAUCGAAACUUGAGCAUGGCAAGGUGUCAGUUUGAGAUUAUGAUGGAUUGCAAAAUCAUAGUCUAUGAAAAUUUCUGAACUUCCGGUGUCCACAAGUGCCUCAGUCACAAUCAAGUUGAGAGUUAUCUCUAUGGUUGCUUUCGAUAGUGGAGUAUGAGAAACAGUUGCUAACAGUGAGGCCGCAGUGGUCCCCUUACUUUUCUUUUUGCAAACCUUAGCGAAAUGGCUUUUUAUUUGGCAAUUAUUGCAAAUCUCGUUUCUAGCUGGACAUUUAGAUUGAAGAUGAUAAGUGUAUCCUCAAUAGAAGCAGUUUUUCUUAGUGGCUGCAAGAGUCGACAAGGGGGAAUCCGUUGUCUCUGGUUGAAUAGGAGAGCUAGAGUUAAUACUUUCUUGGAUACUGCUAUUGGGAAUAAGCGGACCUAUAGCAUUGACAGUAGUGUCAAAAGACUUGUAAGUUUCAGAUUGAAGAUGCACU
rnacentral:lncRNA from 1 species